UAUACAAACAGUCAUUCUCCUUUGAACCCAAUCUCUGUUGAUUCCUUGCUUCUUCAAUGCAGAAUUGUUGGGGUUUCAAAUUAGGUUUGAAUAUUACAGAUACUCAGAAGGUUCGAUGGUCACAAUUUAGCACGUCUGAGACAUCCCAGCUUUCAUGGUUAUUUCCUACAAUCAUGCUCAUUCCGUCCAAAUCGCUCCAGAUUUCCGUCCAGUCGCUGCAGAUUUCUUGCUGCAAUAAUGUAGAGUUUUUUGGGUAUGAAAGUGAUAGGAACCUGAUGAUCAAAAGCAAGAAAUCAAUUGUUGACAAAAUAGGGAUUGGGUCUUCUGACAUUGGGUUGCUGGAGUGCAGUUCCUCACGUACAGUGAAGCAAGGAUGGCUGCAAUAGCGUGGGCACAUGGGAAGCCAUUAAGCUGCCACUGAUGACAAGAACAAGUACGUUGCUGGAUAUCGAUGACAAAAGAGUACUCAGCACGAACCUCAAACACGUGUUCACUUAAACGGCUAACAUCCCAAUGCCUCCCAAUGUCCACAGCUUUCUGCAAUUUUUUUUCCAUAUUAGGGCAGAGAUAUGUAGUCCAUUUUUCUGCUUCGCGACGCCGAGCAGCAUAUUUGACCAUCAUGUUCACCCGUAACCGUUCAAACAAUUGGAAAAUAGGCAACUCGCGCUCAACAACAAUCCAUGAGUUGAAGCACUCUGCCAGAUUUGAACA